rnacentral:lncRNA from 10 species
UGGGCGGUAACUACUGGAUGUUGCUAUGGUAAUCAGUCACGCGAGGCUGGCUUGCUGGAACCGGCUAGAAAAUGCAGCCCUGCCUGCCGCAGGGAUCUCCUCCGGUAUGGCCACACAUAUGAGUUCUGGCAAUGCCCAUUAGUGAUAUGGCCGAUAGUUUCUUCUGUCUUGCUUCCAGGAACCUUUUCUUGGUUUGAAGCCACCGAACCAGAAGAGAGAAUUUUUACCACUUUGAGGACUUCUUGUGACGAAUCCAAUGGGAAUUCCAUAAUAUUCAGAAACAAAACAUUUUGAGGGCCAACAAAUUAUUAAGCCCUUUGCUAGGUCUUAGAGAUACAAAGAUAAAGAAGACUGGAGUUUUCUUUUUAUUAUCUACCAGACUGAAGGCCACUGCCUGGGGACUUGAUCUAAGAGAAGAAAUAUCAGGAGACCUGGGUUUGGCUCCUGGCUCUGCCAGGUGAUCAUGGAGCAGUCACGUAUUAUCCCUGAGCUUCCGUUUCCUCAUCUACUUAAUUAGUGAUGGGUCUACAGGGCCUUGCUGGGGUCCACUUCUGACAUUCUGUGUUGCAUGGACCAUGUCAGAGAAGAUGGAGACACCUUCACGGCCUGUUAGUCACAUCUCACCAAAGCUUCUCAAUGGGCUGUCAGACAAGAACUCUCAUUAGUUGAGUGCGUUUCACAGAUAGUUGUCCGGAAAAGGAAGAGGAUGACACUGAUGACCAGCCGUCUU